rnacentral:rRNA from 1 species
CAGCAGCCGCGGUAAGACGGAGGGUGCUAGCGUUGUUCGGAAUCACUGGGCGUAAAGGGCGCGUAGGCGGCCUGUUAAGUCGGAUGUGAAAGCCCGGGGCUCAACCCCGGAACUGCAUCCGAGACUGGCAGGCUUGAGACCGGGAGAGGAGGGUGGAAUAUCCAGUGUAGAGGUGAAAUUCGUAGAUAUUGGAUGGAACACCGGUGGCGAAAGCGGCUCUCUGGCCCGGAUCUGACGCUGAGGCGCGAAAGCGUGGGGAGCAAACAGGAUUAGAUACCCGGGUAGUCCCUGUCUCUUAUAA